CCAGUAUUGGCCCCAGUAUCAACCCCUGGGGGACACCACUAGUAACUGGCCACCAGUACAUUUUGUACCACUGAUCACAACCCUUUGAGCCAGGUGGUCCAGCCAAGUUUCCCUCCACCUUAUCAUCCACCUAUUCAGUCCAUAUUACACCAAUCUGACUAUGUGGAUACUAUUGGAGACUGCAUUCGAAGGCUUUGCUAAAGUCAAGGCAAACAGCGUGUACAGCAUUGGGAGUCAUCUCAUCGUAGGUGGUACAGUACUGCUUAAAGGAAGGCCACAUGAAAAACUAGAUUGUUUCAUUUAAAAAAAAAUCCAAAACCAGUAAUAUAAGUUAAACAUGGCAAAAAAACAUAGAGUCAAAAAGAAAGUUUUGUGCCUGAUCUUUAUUCAGCUCUUUGUCUUGUGGUGAAAGGACUGUUUGUGUGUGAGAAAUCUUGCUGAUCUUUAUCCAAAUCCAAAAUGUCUGGAAUAUCACCUAAUUCUGAAGACAAGUCUGUAAUAAUGAAAUCUGGAACCUGUCACUUCUUAUCUUGGAUAAAGGUUGCGCUUAUACUACUGUCCCCUAUGUCAAGCUCUCUCUUUGACUGAAGUUCUGGCCCCAGAACACACUCCAAACAUCUGCACUGUAUUCUUCUAGGGUUGAGAAGGGCUAGAGAGUUGCAGAAAAGCUGCUUUGUAGUAACCGUUUUACCUCAGGGCUUGAGUAAAGUACCGUUCCAAUUUUUUACCCCACAAAAUGGAGUAAGAACUGCCUGUGGAGCGAUGCUGUCAUAGUCAUUCCAUCACACACAAAGCUUCCAUGUACAACGUAAAUCCAGGGGCAGCCCUCAGGCAGACUUUAUGGUACCUGUAUGGGUUCCCCAAAUGCUGCUAUGCUGGGCAGUAGAACCAGUAGUAGUUAAACCAGCAGUUAAAGAGAAACAGCAAGCAACUUGGGAUGGACUGUGGGAGGAUGGUUAUAAGUUGAUGAUCUAACCAUGGAUUAAGUUGAGAGUUGUUUUUCAACUGGCCCUAGAACACUGAUCCUCAGGUCAAAAUUAGGGAGAAAAUUCUUUUCCAGUAGCAUUUCUCUCCCCAUACCCCCAUAAUUAUUGCAUUGCAUAGGCCAGCUCUGUCACUGUAAUAUCUGAGUGCCAAAAAGAAGAGUUUAAACUCACAUAGAUGUCCCCAUUGUUUUUUAAAAAAAUCAGUGGUUGGCAGCUCAGUUCUCAUUUCUUCUUUUAACUCAUGGUCUUUAGGUAGAGAUAUAGUUGUGCAAGAAUGUGCAUGUAGCCAUAUUCUCUAUACAUGGUCUUUUUUGACUCAGUUUUAGUCCCUUCCAUUUAUCAUUCUGGAGUUGAUAGGCUCUAGUUGAGACUGUCUUAUCUCUGGCCCCUUUGAGCUUUACUCAGUCUGUCGAGCUGUGAAUGACUAAAGUCUUCAGGAUUAAGCCUUUGAAGGAGAUAUCCCUCUGCAUCAGAUGGCAUUAGCAAAGACAAGCAAGCAUGCCAAAUGCAUGUACUUAGGGAUUUUUAUUUUCUCUUCUCAAAUAUGGAACAUGAGGAUAUGCUGGCACCAGUCUUGGAACAUCAAAACUGUACCACAGAGAUGUCUGCUAGUGUAACUAGAUCUACAAGAAAACCAUUUGGGAUAGCUGCAUGCUGACGGAGUCUCAAGGAAAGUUCAGGUCUAUGAAGAUCACAGACAACCAAUUAACCUAUCAGACAUUCACCACGGCAUUUCAUGUGAAAGUCUCAAGCUGAUCUGGGAAGAAGUAAGGUUACAACUAUCCCCUACUGGAGUGUUUCAUCUUGAGAGCUUUGUGUAUAAAGCGCCAAAUUAAUCAUCUAUACCUGGUGGUGGCUUGAAAACUAAAGCAGUUUUGAAGAGCUACCAUGUCUCCCUCUAAGCAUAUUGGAUCCCUGUUGCAGCUAAUACAAUCCCACUGUUGUUGGCUGUAGAUCAUAUGACUGGCUACAAGUUAUAAAUAUAAUCUUUGAGGUCACAAAAGAACACUGUCAUUGCUGUUAAAAAUGGAUGAAAGUUACUAUGUAAAAGCAAAUGUUUUCAUCUUGCUACCAAUAAAGAUAGAGAACAUGAAAUGAA